rnacentral:rRNA from 1 species
AGUGAACGCUGGCGGUAGGCCUAACACAUGCAAGUCGAACGGCAGCACAGUAAGAGCUUGCUCUUACGGGUGGCGAGUGGCGGACGGGUGAGGAAUACAUCGGAAUCUACUUUUUCGUGGGGGAUAACGUAGGGAAACUUACGCUAAUACCGCAUACGACCUACGGGUGGAAGCAGGGGAUCUUCGGACCUUGCGCGAUUGAAUGAGCCGAUGUCGGAUUAGCUAGUUGGCGGGGUAAAGGCCCACCAAGGCGACGAUCCGUAGCUGGUCUGAGAGGAUGAUCAGCCACACUGGAACUGAGACACGGUCCAGACUCCUACGGGAGGCAGCAGUGGGGAAUAUUGGACAAUGGGCGCAAGCCUGAUCCAGCCAUACCGCGUGGGUGAAGAAGGCCUUCGGGUUGUAAAGCCCUUUUGUUGGGAAAGAAAAGCAGCAGGUUAAUACCCCGCUGUUCUGACGGUACCCAAGGAAUAAGCACCGGCUAACUUCGUG